AGUAUAGCGUUAUGUGAAUUGUUGUGGAGGUAGAGCAUUGAUUUUAUGAUGGCUGCACCUAUGGGUAUUGAUUAGAAUUAAACUCCGAAUGCCAUAACUUGUGCAUAGCAGUCAGAACAUGGGUGAUAAGGUCCAUGCUCGUGAGGGAAACAGCCCAGAUCGUCAGCUAAGGUCCCUAAGUGUAAACUAAGUGUGUAAGGAUGUGGAACUGCACAGACAGCUAGGAUGUUGGCUUAGAAGCAGCCAUCAUUUAAAGAGUGCGUAACAGCUCACUAGUCGAGUGAUUCUGCGCCGAAAAUGUACCGGGGCUUAAGUUUACCACCGAAGCUACGGCUUGUACGCAAGUACAGUGGGAGGGGAGCGUUCCAAGGGUGAUGAAGUCAGACCGUAAGGACUGGUGGAGCGCUUGGAAGUGAUUAUGCCGGCAUGAGUAACGUUUGGAAGUGAGAAUCUUCCAUGCCGUUUGACCAAGGUUUCCUGGGCAAGGUUCGUCCACCCAGGGUUAGUCAGGACCUAAGACGAGGCCGACAGGCGUAGUCGAUGGACAACAGGUUGAUAUUCCUGUACCAGUUAAUUAGUGAUGGAGUGACGGAGAAGGAUAGUAUAUCCCGGGUGCUGGUUGUCCCGGGCUAAGCACAAAGACGGCAACAUUGGCAAAUCCGUGUUGUAUUAACGUUGAAGUGUGAUGGGGAGUGAACGGUUCGCCUAGUAACGAAGUAUAUGACUCCACGCUUCCAAGAAAAGCUUCUAACAUUAAUAAUUAACUGCCUGUACCUAGAACGAACACACGUGGUCAAGGAGAAAAUCCUAAGGCAAGCGAGAUAACUGUAGCUAAGGAACUCUGCAAAAUAACUCCGUAACUUCGGAAGAAGGAGUGCUCAUCUUUGAUGAGCCGCAGUGAAGAGGGAGGGGCAACUGUUUAACAAAAACACAGCUCUCUGCUAAGUCGUAAGACGAUGUAUAGGGGGUGACGCCUGCCCAGUGCCGGAAGGUUAAGAGGAGAAGUCAGCGCAAGCGAAGCUUUGAAUUGAAGCCCCGGUGAACGGCGGCCGUAACUAUAACGGUCCUAAGGUAGCGAAAUUCCUUGUCAGGUAAAUUCUGACCCGCACGAAAGGUGUAAUGAUCCCUUCGCUGUC
rnacentral:rRNA from 1 species